UCGGGAAUUUUGUGCAAUGGGCGAAAGCCUGACACAGCAACGCCGCGUGAAGGAUGAAGUAUUUCGGUAUGUAAACUUCGAAAGAAUAGGAAGAAUAAAUGACGGUACUAUUUAUAAGGUCCGGCUAACUACGUGCCAGCAGCCGCGGUAAUACGUAGGGACCAAGCGUUGUUCGGAUUUACUGGGCGUAAAGGGCGCGUAGGCGGCAAUUCAAGUCAUCUGUGAAAUCUCCGGGCUUAACUCGGAACGGUCAGAUGAUACUGCUUUGCUAGAGUGCAGAAGGGGCAAUCGGAAUUCUUGGUGUAGCGGUGAAAUGCGUAGAUAUCAAGAGGAACACCUGAGGUGAAGACGGGUUGCUGGGCUGACACUGACGCUGAGGCGCGAAAGCCAGGGGAGCAAACGGGAUUAGAUACCCGAGUAGUCCCUGAGCGGGCUGGCAAGGCGCAU
rnacentral:rRNA from 1 species